UACGUAGGGUGCGAGCGUUAAUCGGAAUUACUGGGCGUAAAGCGUGCGCAGGCGGUUUUGUAAGACAGAUGUGAAAUCCCCGGGCUCAACCUGGGAACUGCAUUUGUGACUGCAUCGCUGGAGUGCGGCAGAGGGGGAUGGAAUUCCGCGUGUAGCAGUGAAAUGCGUAGAUAUGCGGAGGAACACCGAUGGCGAAGGCAAUCCCCUGGGCCUGCACUGACGCUCAUGCACGAAAGCGUGGGGAGCGAACAGG
rnacentral:rRNA from 1 species